rnacentral:lncRNA from 1 species
UAGAAUAUUAGCUAUAACUGGGUUAAAAAGAGAGAAAAAAUUAAAAAUGUUCAAAUAUCAGCAUGUAUCUGUUGGAACAAUUACCGCACAGGAAUCUGAUUAUGAUUUAAAUCUAACUAAAUUUUAUGAUGAAAAUAAAUAAAAUCAACUUACAGAUUAUCGCUAAAUCCAAAUAAAUACUUUAUUGAUCCGGAAGCGUGCGAAGCACUGCCCUAAGGCGUAUUUUCGUCCUUACGUGCGGGAUUAACCGGAAACACCGCCCCAAGGUACGACCGGAAUUCCUCCUCCUACGAGCACGAACGCGGAAGAGGUUGACGAAGUUUCUUUCAACACCCAGCGAUAAAGGAAUCAAGAAAAUAGAAAAUUGAAGGAAAAACUUAAAAAAAACUAUUUUCCACUUGUUGUUUUCACUA